rnacentral:rRNA from 1 species
UACGGAGGGUGCAAGCAUUAAUCGGAAUUAUUGGGCGUAAAGGGCGCGUAGGCGGAUGUAUAAGUCAGAUGUGAAAUUCCGAGGCUCAACUUCGGAACUGCAUUUGAAACUAUACGUCUAGAGGAUUGGCGGAGAAAACGGAAUUCCACGUGUAGCGGUGAAAUGCGUAGAUAUGUGGAAGAACACCUGUGGCGAAAGCGGUUUUCUAGCUAUUUCCUGACGCUGAGGCGCGAGAGCAAGGGGAGCAAACAGG